rnacentral:misc_RNA from 1 species
UCCGGUUUGUCACCGGCAGUCUCAUUAGAGUGCUCAACUGAAUGUAGCAACUAAUGACAAGGGUUGCGCUCGUUGCGGGACUUAACCCAACAUCUCACGACACGAGCUGACGACAACCAUGCAGCACCUCGGCUGGCUCCCUUGCGGGUCAUCCCGUAUUUCUACAGGACUAACACCAGUAGUUCAAGCCCAGGUAAGGUUCUUCGCGUUGCGUCGAAUUAAACCACAUGCUCCACCGCUUGUGCGGGCCCCCGUCAAUUCCUUUGAGUUUCAACCUUGCGGCCGUACUCCCCAGGCGGCUCAUUUAAUGCGUUAGCUACGGCGCGGAGGGGGUCGAUACCCCCCACACCUAAUGAGCAUCGUUUAGGGCUAGGACUAC